UACAGAGACCUCAAGCGUUAUCCGGAAUCAUUGGGCGUAAAGCGUACCGAUAGGUGGUUUAACAAGUCAGAAGUGAAAUCUUCGAGCUUAACUCGAAAUCUGUCUUUUGAAACUGUUAAACUAGAAGGGCAAAGAGGAAGCGGGAACGAACGGUGUAGUAGUGAAAUGCGUUGAUAUCGUGCGGAACACCAAGAGCGUAGGCAGGCUUCUGGGUGCCACUUGACACUGCUAGGACGAAAGCGUGGGUAGCGAAUGGG
rnacentral:rRNA from 1 species